GCCUAAAAAUACAAACCAAAAAGUGGAGUGGCUGCAGAGAUAGUUGUUUCCCGAGCCACGCUGCUCGUGUUUAUUGAUUUGCUCCUCAUGCGCCUUCAAACCUUUAAUUUGAGUUAAGAGUUGAGAUCUUCAGCCUUCCUUUGGACUUGGCCUCCAAAACUGAAAGUAUUUGCAGCCUUGGAGUUGAGAGUUGAUAUCACUCUUGCUUUGCAUUCAAAUAGAGAUGGAUAAGUCAUGGAUGUAUGCCGAUAGAAGGUCACGAGAGUAUGAGGUGGGAGUUGAAGGAUUUUUGAAGUUUGCCAUGGAGAACUCAAGAAAUGUGAAUCUAAUUCAUUGCCCUUGCAUAAAUUGUGGAAACAUUUUACAAUAUGGUAUUGCAGUUAUAAGGGAUCAUAUGUAUAUUAAUGGUGUUGAUACAAGUUAUCAAUCUUGGAUAUGGCACAGAGAGCCUUAUGUGUCAAUUGCAAAUGCAAAUGAACCUUUUCCAAGUACUAACGAACAAGGCUAUGUAUCUAAAAUAGUAGAUAUGGAAGAUACUGAUUUUGGGGAUUCAUUAAACGAUCCCUAUGAGUUUC